UGUUACUGCGAAGGGGGGACGGAGAAGGCUAUGUUAGCCGGGCGACGGUUGUCCCGGUUUAAGCAUGUAGGCUGGUUGUCCAGGCAAAUCCGGAUAAUCAAGGCUGAGGUGUGAUGACGAGGCACUACGGUGCUGAAGUAACAAAUGCCCUGCUUCCAGGAAAAGCCUCUAAGCAUCAGGUAACAUCAAAUCGUACCCCAAACCGACACAGGUGGUCAGGUAGAGAAUACCAAGGCGCUUGAGAGAACUCGGGUGAAGGAACUAGGCAAAAUGGUGCCGUAACUUCGGGAGAAGGCACGCUGGUGUGUAGGUGAAGUCCCUGCGGAUGGAGCUGAGACCAGUCGAAGAUACCAGCUGGCUGCAACUGUUUAUUAAAAACACAGCACUGUGCAAACACGAAAGU
rnacentral:rRNA from 2 species